rnacentral:rRNA from 1 species
UGAGGUAUUGCUCCUUUUAGGAGUUAAAAACAUGGAAGUGCACACGUUAAUCAACUUUGUGCAGCUACGCUACACUUUUUGACCCCCCAAUCAAGCAAGAUUACCCGCUGAACUUAAGCAUAUCAAUAAGCGGAGGAAAAGAAACCAACAGGGAUUGCCUUAGUAACGGCGAGUGAACAGGUAAGAGCUCAGAUUUGAAAGGCACUUGUGCCGUUGUAUUCUGAAGUUAGGAUUCUCGAAAACGACACCUAAGUUUUCUGGAAAGGAAUGCCACAGAGGGUGAUAGCCCCGUACGGUGUUGACUCGAUACAGAGUCCUAACAUGGAGUCGAGUUGUUUGGGAAUGCAGCUCAAAUGGGUGGUAUGCUCCAUCUAAGGCUAAAUAUUUGCGAGAGACCGAUAGCGAACAAGUACUGUGAAGGAAAGAUGAAAAGAACUUUGAAAAGAGAGUGAAAUAGUACGUGAAAUUGUUGAAAUGGAAGGGUAGGCCGCUAACCAUGUAGGACCGUGUUUGGGGGGAAGAUAAAUGCUGUAGAAUGUGGCUCCUCGGAGUGUUAUAGCUACAGUUCAUGUCCCAUCCGAGCGCGAGGAUCUCAGGUUCUACUAAAUGGUGGUCUACCACCCGUCUUGAAACACGGACCAAGGAGUCUAUUGCCUGCGCGAGUAUUUGGGUGUCAA